CCACAACCAGCGUCUGAUUGGGAUGGAGCACUAACCCCUUUCCAGGAAGAGGUCCAGUCAGCCCCGGGUCAGAACAACUUCUAUAGCACAGAAUACCUGACUGCGG